UACGUAGGGUGCGAGCGUUAAUCGGAAUUACUGGGCGUAAAGCGUGCGCAGGCGGUUCGUUGUGUCUGAUGUGAAAGCCCCGGGCUCAACCUGGGAAUGGCAUUGGAAACUGGCGAGCUAGAGUGUGGCAGAGGGGGGUGGAAUUCCGCGUGUAGCAGUGAAAUGCGUAGAGAUGCGGAGGAACACCGAUGGCGAAGGCAGCCCCCUGGGCUGACACUGACGCCUCAGGCACGAAAGCGUGGGGAGCAAACAGG
rnacentral:rRNA from 1 species